UACGUAGGGUGCGAGCGUUUAAUCGGAAUUACUGGGCGUAAAGCGUGCGCAGGCGGUUUUGUAAGCCAGAUGUGAAAUCCCCGGGCUUAACCUGGGAACUGCAUUGGUGACUGGCGGGCUAGAGUAUGGCAGAGGGGGGUAGAAUUCCACGUGUAGCAGUGAAAUGCGUAGAGAUGUGGAGGAAUACCGAUGGCGAAGGCAGCCCCCUGGGCCAAUACUGACGCUCAUGCACGAAAGCGUGGGGAGCAAACAGG
rnacentral:rRNA from 1 species